AUGUUUGCCAGUAGAGCAUGCUUCCGCAAAUACGCCUACGCAGCUCUCUCCUCCAUUAAGUUACAUAUGGGCCCUCAUGAGGUAGACCCACAUGUCAUCCAUUCCAAGAAGGAUUGGCCGGUGCUGUCGGCUGGCGUCAAGUUCAAUCCAACGGAUCAGGAGCUGAUCGAGCACCUUGAGGCCAAAGUGAGUGCUGACAGCGCGAGAUCUCACCCUCUCAUCGAUUUGUUCAUACCAAGGAUCGAUAGCGAGCACGGCAUAUGCUACACCCAUCCUGAGAAACUUCCAGGUAUCACACUGAGUGGCCCAAGCAAGCAUUUCUUCCAGCGCAAUUCUAGGGUAUUCAAAAGGGGCACGUGGACGCGUCGCAAGAUACAAUCGGAGUGCGGCAUGCACGUGAUGUGGCACAAGACCGGCAAUACCUUGUCGGUGAUGGUCAACGGCCGGCAGACGGGCAGCAAAAAGGUUCUGGUGCUGCACACCAACAAGAACUUUGACCAGCAGAGGACCAACUGGGUGAUGCACCAGUACCACCUUGGGGACCUGGAGCAAGAGAAGGAGCGGGAGCUGGUCCUCUGCAAGAUUUUCUACCAGACGAACACUAGGGCCAGGAGUCGAGCAAGUUUCAACUGGGUUGUAGACUGCCCAGGCUUGGUUUUGUUUUUAACAGGCCCAGCCCAUGACGACAAAGGGGCACAAAGAUCCAGCACAUAUCUACUGGCCUCUAGCCCACCAGCGUUAGAUAGGCUCACCGCCUGGGCCGGUGAGGGAGUGUUCGGAUCUGAGAUCGAGAUUGGAUCCGUGAGAGCAACUGUACCAAGGGCCCACUCCAAGAUUGAAUCUGGGGCGUGGGCGGCGGUGUCGACGGGCCGGUCUGACAUCUGUCCUAGGGCGGCGAUCUUGCCAUGGCGAUCCAUGACAUUUUUUAAGCUGCCGUGCUGA
rnacentral:rRNA from 1 species